rnacentral:rRNA from 1 species
UACGUAGGGUGCGAGCGUUGUCCGGAAUUAUUGGGCGUAAAGAGCUCGUAGGCGGUUUGUCGCGUCGACUGUGAAAACCCGAGGCUUAACCUCGGGCCUGCAGUCGAUACGGGCAGACUAGAGUUCGGUAGGGGAGACUGGAAUUCCUGGUGUAGCGGUGAAAUGCGCAGAUAUCAGGAGGAACACCGGUGGCGAAGGCGGGUCUCUAGUACGGUACUGACGCUGAGACGCGAAAGCGUGGGGAGCGAACAGG